rnacentral:rRNA from 1 species
AUGGCGACGCAGCACAAGACGGCGUCGACGCACAGGUCCGCGAUCGUCCGCGGGGUGCACCAGCUCGACAUCGUCGGCUACAGCACGCGCCGCAUGUUCGGCGCCGACAACACCAUCAGGUCCCGGAGUUUCGACGCCGGCGGCUUCGUCUGGGCCCUCGUAUGCCGCUUCGUCGCAAAACCAGAGCAAGCGCGGGGCCUCACCCUAGCGUCAAUCUCCAUAGAGCUCUCGAGGAACCAGACCGACGAGGACGUCGUCGCCAUGGCCAGCGUCCGGAUCGACGACCCCACAGGCUGUGGCCGCUACCCCGGCGCAGAGUGGCACAGCGCCGAGCCCCACAUCUUUCCGGCCAGGUCCAGGAAGGCCGUCGCCUGGGAGCUCUCCGUCCCCGACAUGUUCCUGGAACACCAGGAACGCUACGUCAUGGACGACUGCCUUACCAUCCACUGCACCGUGGACGUUAUCCGGGAGGAGUCUGUAGAUGGGACCACCAGGAACUACUCGGUCGUUGUGCCUCCGCCGCCGAGCCUAUCCCAGGACAUCCAUAGGCUCCGGCAGGAGAUGUGGUGGCCGGACGUGACGUUCGUGGUCGACCAGACCAAGAUCCAAGCGCACAAGCUCGUGCUAGCCAUGCGGUCGCCGGUCUUCGCCGCACAGUUCCACGGGGAGAUGAAGGAGAAGACCAUGCGCAGCCUACGGAUCGACGACAUGAGCGCAUCGACAUUCAACGCCAUGCUCCACUUCAUUUACACCGACGAGCUGGCCCAAACCAACAAAGGAACAUGCCACUUGGCAAUGGUGCGCGACCUCCUCGUGGCCGCAGACCUAUAUGACCUGGAGAGGCUUAGGCUCAUGUGUGAGAACAUACUGUCCAAGAGCAUCACGGUUGGCAACGUCAUGUCGACGCUGAUGCUGGUGCACAACAGGCACAGCUGCCGACAACUCGAGGCCUCGUGUGUUGAGUUCAUAGCGUCCGACCCUGACAUCUACAACGCCGUGCAAGCCACCAAUGAGUACAAGGAGCUCGAGAAAGAAUGCCCCUCUUUUAUAUACGAGAUCACUAAGAAAUUAGCCACGCGUGCGGUGGCUCGCAACAAAUCUCCAUCUACUUCUUCCACCGGUUGUGGCACUGAUAGCAGCAGAGAGAGCGUGUCGAGGUAUAACCCAUCAGCGGUGAUGAUCGGCACACACGAGUUUAGGAUCGAAAGCUUGAAAGCCAUCAGGAAGACGCACAGUGGUGGUCAAUACAUCCAAUCUGGCAGUUUUCAAGUGGGGGGAUACGAGUGGGCCAUAAGUGUGUACCCAUCCGGGUUUGAAGGGGACGAGACCGAGUACAUUGGCCUCUUCCUUAGGCGGUUGAGUUAUAACAAUGACGACGAGGAUGCCGAUGAUGACAACGACGAUGGCGGCGGCAACAAUGAUGCUCAUGCUGUGGAUGCAAUUCCAUCCUUGUCGUCGUGGAUAAAUUCUCACGGUAUGCCCAUUUCAUAG